rnacentral:rRNA from 1 species
AUUGAACGCUGGCGGCAUGCUUUACACAUGCAAGUCGAACGGCAGCGGGGUAGUGCUUGCACUACUGUCCGGCGAGUGGCGAACGGGUGAGUAAUAUAUCGGAACGUACCGAGUAAUGGGGGAUAACCAAUCGAAAGAUUGGCUAAUACCGCAUACGUCCUGAGGGAGAAAGCGGGGGAUCGCAAGACCUCGCGUUAUUCGAGCGGCCGAUAACUGAUUAGCUAGUUGGUGGGGUAAAGGCCUACCAAGGCGACGAUCAGUAGCGGGUCUGAGAGGACGAUCCGCCACACUGGGACUGAGACACGGCCUAGACUCCUACGGGAGGCAGCAGUGGGGAAUUUUGGACAAUGGGGGCAACCCUGAUCCAGCCAUGCCGCGUGUAUGAAGAAGGCCUUCGGGUUGUAAAGUACUUUUGUUAGGGAAGAAAAGGGAAGUGCUAAUACCACUUUUUGCUGACGGUACCUAAAGAAUAAGCACCGGCUAACUACGUGCCAGCAGCCGCGGUAAUACGUAGGGUGCGAGCGUUAAUCGGAAUUACUGGGCGUAAAGCGAGCGCAGACGGUUAUUUAAGCAGGAUGUGAAAUCCCCGGGCUUAACCUGGGAACUGCGUUCUGAACUGGAUAGCUAGAGUGUGUCAGAGGGGGGUAGAAUUCCACGUGUAGCAGUGAAAUGCGUAGAGAUGUGGAGGAAUACCGAUGGCGAAGGCAGCCCCCUGGGAUAACACUGACGUUCAUGCUCGAAAGCGUGGGUAGCAAACAGG